rnacentral:lncRNA from 1 species
GAAAUACAAGAGAUUUAUGAGAUUUAUUGGGGAAAUGUCUGUGAAACAUAGAGAGGAGAGGAAGCAGGUGAAGGCUGUGAGAUCCCCAGGCCAUGAUGUAAGUCUGACACCUGGGAAAAAAAGAGGAAGAGGGAAGGAGGAAUGGGUACAAAGAGCCUCAGAUGACAGUACAGUUCUGAGAAUGUUUUAGCCAAGCCAGAGAGGAGAGCCAUUCGAUGGGUCCCAUGUUGGCAGAAAUGUCCCACCUCCAGUCUCCCUGCUGUGCAGAGUUAUUGGCUAGAAGCAGCCUGGGGAAGGCGUAGCCUCAGAAUGACUGCUGUGGUAGCUGGAGCUCCUCCCAGCAGCUUCUGUCUGGAAGGAGAGUUGAGCCGUGUACCUCCGUGGCUGGCGCAGUGGCUUCUGAACUUCUUUUGUGUAUAGCCUAUGAAAUAAAUCACACGCACAUUGAGAAUAAUAUGAAGGCAGAAUGCCACAUCUACUCCGGAGUCCUGCGUCGUCUACCAGCUGUUGAUAUGGGUGUCCCAUACAGAGUUCUCAUCACCUGCAGGACUGAGGAAAGACUAACUUUUUGUCAGAAAAGAAGAAAAUGACCUAAAACUCUACCUUUCUGUGCAACACAUACCAUGUUCUUUACAGAGUUAACAUUCUAAUAUAAAACAUAAUUGUUUAACGAGUUUUAGUUAUAGGUGGGGGAUAAUAAAACUCCCAUUUUCCUUUCCUACCACAGUGCCCAAACACUGUCUUCUUUAUUCCAUUACUCCAGGGUGAAACUGUAGUGGUGAAAAGGUACCCUGACCAGUCUGCUGACAGAUCACUCUCAUGGCCAAGAGUGGAAUUUCUUAAAGUAGAUAUAAUAAUAAGAGUUUUGGAAAUAAUGUAUUUGAAAAUAUGAAAGUUGCCCAGAAACAUGAGAUUAUUCCCGGCAGCCUAAAAAAAAGAAACAGAAUUGGCCUUUGUGUUACCACUGUGCAAAACCAUGGUCAGCCGCCAAAGAACUCAGCUGAAGAUGGUAAGAAGAAAUCGACAAAGAAAAUUUUAAUAAGGGAUUUUAAAAAAAAGGAAGAAAAGAAAAAUAAAAACCUGUUCAAUCUCCUGCCUUCCACCUGCACUGAUCCCCACAAGAGAAGGAGUAGAUGAUACUGAAACAAAGUGAUUUCACUGCCAGUUCAUAGUUCUGGGGAAAGAUGAGUUAGAAAGGAUCACCUGAAUUGGAGGUAGAGUCAUCUGUAGAUUUCAAAUAUCUGCUUCACUUUUGUUCCAUGUUACUGUAAAUAAUUAUCAAGUGACAGUAAAGAUUUAUAAAAGCAUUUAAAACAAUGAAUAAGGAGAGUUGGUGGAGUUAUAAGGUGGUUUUCUUGGUUCAUGAACUUGUUUGCAAAAGACGCAUGGCCUUAUACUUAAACAUGAUAUAAAGGUCCAACAAAGCUAUUACAAUCUAAUAAUAAAAUUAUACAAUGUUUCUUUCCUCUAUAGCUAAUGCAGGCUUUACUUAAAAAAAAACAAACAAACAAACAAACAAAAACAGUAUCAGUUUCCAAAAGGAACUUACCUUCCAUUCUUGUCAGACAUUCAGGAACCAAGCUUCUCAUUUUGAGCUUCUUAUAUUAUGUAAAGAAAUGCAUGACUAGGCACAGUGGCUCAAGCCUGUAAUCCCAGCACUUUAGGAGGCCAAGGUGGGCAGAUCACUUGAAGCCAGGAGUUGGAGAUCAGCCUGGGCAACAUAGUGAAACCCCAUCUCUACAAAAAUACAAAAAUUAUCUGGGAUUGGUGGCACAUGCCUGUAAUCCCAGCUACUUGGGAGGCUAAGGCACGAGAAUCACUUGAACCCAGGAGGCAGAGGUUACAGUGAGCUGAGAUCACACCACUGCACUCCAGUAUGAGCAACAGAGCAAGACUGUCAAAAAAAAAAAAAAAGAAGAAAGAAAAAAGAAGGAAAGAAGAAAGAAAGAAAGAAAGAAAGAAAGAAAGAAAGAAAGAAAGAAAGAAAGAAAGAAAGAAAGAGAAAGAAAGAAAAAGAAAUUCACAGCCAAACUGGUAUGCAUUGAGUCUCUGGAGGCUGAAGACAAAAAAGUUUUUAAUCUUAUUUGUGCCAUUUAAAUAUUUAUAAGAUUUAAGAAAAGGAUUUUCCUUUUCUUUUUUAAUCCGUGACUGUAAGGGAC